GGGCCCGCACAAGCGGUGGAGCAUGUGGUUUAAUUCGAUGAUACGCGAGGAACCUUACCAGGGCUUAAAUGUAGUCUGACAGGGGUGGAAACACCCCCUCCUUCGGGCAGAUUACAAGGUGCUGCAUGGUUGUCGUCAGCUCGUGCCGUGAGGUGUCAGGUUAAGUCCUAUAACGAGCGCAACCCCUGCCGUUAGUUGCCAGCAUGUAAUGAUGGGAACUCUAACGGGACUGCCGGUGCAAACCGCGAGGAAGGUGGGGAUGACGUCAAAUCAUCACGGCCCUUACGUCCUGGGCUACACACGUGCUACAAUGGCCGGUACAGAGGGCAGCCACACCGCAAGGUGGAGCGAAUCCUUAAAACCGGUCUCAGUUCGGAUCGGGGUCUGCAACUCGAGUGCAUGAAGUUGGAAUCGCUAGUAAUCG
rnacentral:rRNA from 1 species